rnacentral:rRNA from 1 species
UGGGGAAUAUUGCGCAAUGGGGGGAACCCUGACGCAGCCAUGCCGCGUGAAUGAAGAAGGCCUUAGGGUUGUAAAGUUCUUUCGGUAUUGAGGAAGGUUGAUGUGAUAAUAGCACAUCAAAUUGACGUUAAAUACAGAAGAAGCACCGGCUAACUCCGUGCCAGCAGCCGCGGUAAUACGGAGGGUGCGAGCGUUAAUCGGAAUAACUGGGCGUAAAGGGCACGCAGGCGGUUAUUUAAGUGAGGUGUGAAAGCCCUGGGCUUAACCUGGGAAUUGCAUUUCAGACUGGGUAACUAGAGUACUUUAGGGAGGGGUAGAAUUCCACGUGUAGCGGUGAAAUGCGUAGAGAUGUGGAGGAAUACCGAAGGCGAAGGCAGCCCCUUGGGAAUGUACUGACGCUCAUGUGCGAAAGCGUGGGGAGCAAACAGGAUUAGAUACCCUGGUAGUCCACGCUGUAAACGCUGUCGAUUUGGGGGUUGGGGUUUAACUCUGGCGCCCGUAGCUNACGUGAUAAAUCGACCGCCUGGGGAGUACGGCCGCAAGGUUA